GGGAAACCCAGCCAGUAUAAGCUGGUUAUCUUGCACUGAAUACAUAGGUGUAAGAGGCGAACCGGGGGAACUGAAACAUCUAAGUACCCCGAGGAAAAGAAAUCAACCGAGAUUCCCUAAGUAGCGGCGAGCGAACGGGGACUAGCCCUUAAGCUAGACAACUGGUAGGAGAAGGCUCUGGAAAGUGCCGCCAUAGUGGGUGAUAGCCCCGUAUCCGAAACCUGAGUCUGGUGAAAUCGAGUAGGACGGGACACGUGAUAUCCUGUCUGAACAUGGGGGGACCAUCCUCCAAGGCUAAAUACUCCUGACUGACCGAUAGUGAACCAGUACCGUGAGGGAAAGGCGAAAAGAACCCCUGUGAGGGGAGUGAAAUAGAUCCUGAAACCGUG
rnacentral:rRNA from 1 species